rnacentral:rRNA from 1 species
UAGGGAAUCUUCGGCAAUGGACGAAAGUCUGACCGAGCAACGCUGCGUGAGUGAAGAAGGUUUUCGGAUCGUAAAACUCUGUUGGUAGAGAAGAACGUUGGUGAGAGUGGAAAGCUCAUCAAGUGACGGUAACUACCCAGAAAGGGACGGCUAACUACGUGUCAG